rfam:Salmo salar isolate Sally breed double haploid chromosome ssa24, whole genome shotgun sequence.
AAUGCACCAAUUUGUAAGUCGCUCUGGAUAAGAGGGUCUGAUAAAUGACUUAAA